rnacentral:rRNA from 1 species
GCGAAGGGGGGACGGAGAAGGCUAUGUUAGCCGGGCGACGGUUGUCCCGGUUUAAGCAUGUAGGCUGGUUAUCCAGGCAAAUCCGGAUAAUCAAGGCUGAGGUGUGAUGACGAGGCACUACGGUGCUGAAGUAACAAAUGCCCUGCUUCCAGGAAAAGCCUCUAAGCAUCAGGUAACAUCAAAUCGUACCCCAAACCGACACAGGUGGUCAGGUAGAGAAUACCAAGGCGCUUGAGAGAACUCGGGUGAAGGAACUAGGCAAAAUGGUGCCGUAACUUCGGGAGAAGGCACGCUGGUGUGUAGGUGAAGUCCCUGCGGAUGGAGCUGAGACCAGUCGAAGAUACCAGCUGGCUGCAAC